UCCGGUUUGUCACCGGCAGUCCCACUAGAGUGCCCAACUGAAUGUAGCAACUAAUGGCAAGGGUUGCGCUCGUUGCGGGACUUAACCCAACAUCUCACGACACGAGCUGACGACAGCCAUGCAGCACCUGUGUUGCGGUUCCCUUUCGGGCACACCUCCAUCUCUGGAGGCUUCCGCACAUGUCAAGGGUAGGUAAGGUUUUUCGCGUUGCAUCGAAUUAAUCCACAUAAUCCACCGCUUGUGCGGGUCCCCGUCAAUUCCUUUGAGUUUUAGCCUUGCGGCCGUACUCCCCAGGCGGUCAACUUCACGCGUUAGCUUCGUUACCAAGGAAUUACUUCCCCGACAACCAGUUGACAUCGUUUAGGGCGUGGACUAC
rnacentral:misc_RNA from 1 species